CAAAUUUUGGUCCAAAAAUGGCGAGCACAGCAAAGUCCAGGGCCGCAGUCGGAGGUUCUGAGACAGCUUUCUCCCUCCUGUCCUGUAACAAGGUAGGCUCAGGCUCUAGAGGUGGCAGAUGGGUUAAGGGUGUGUGUGUGUGUGUGUGUGUGUGUGUGUGUGUGUGUGUGUUAUACUAAUGGGUUGAGAUUGGGAUCUAGGAAUGAAGGCCUAUAUAGCCUAUAUAUAAACUAGCAAAGCCAACAGGACACAGGUCUCACAGAAUAAGGGAAAUUAGAGCCCUACUGAACAAAGACAUCAAGGAAUGAUUAUCUACCCUGAGAAAUAGGUAGCACUCCACAAAGUUUGCUAAUACAGUUUUUCGUGAGCAUCGAUUCCUUUACUUAUAAAGGGGCCAGCUAGUCCAAUAUGUGAGUAGGAGCGGCUGUUGUACCUCUCCACUUUCAAAUACUCUGUUAUUCAAGACUUUAACUCGAGACUCCUAUUUUGUUUAAAAGAAUUUUUGUAAAUCCCCAAGUGUGGUGGCAGACACCUUUAAUCCCAGCAGAAGCCGUCGGGUCUCUGAGUUCCUGAACAGUCUGGUCUACACAGUGAGUUCUAGGAUAGCAGAGCUACAGACCCUUUUGUACUAUGUACAAGUCUGGAGUGAAUGCAUCUUCUUUAAUCCACUCUGUAUGCUGAGGCUAUAGGAAAGGUACGUGGCACUUGGUACACCCCAGCUUAGGGAAAGCCAUCGGUUGGAGGGUUUCCUUCCUAAGCUGUCAUCACUAGGGUCUUGCCCUGGCCUGGCCAAUAGAGUCCCUUGAAUUGCUCCAAGAGCUCACAGACAUGAGGUAAAGGAGUUUAGCUUCAGCCUGUGGGGCUGGGAGGGAGAAAAUGGUUUUUAAAAUAAAAUAUGCUCUCCUUAUGAUGUUCUUACCCUUA
rnacentral:lncRNA from 1 species